GACGAACGCUGGCGGCGUGCCUAAUACAUGCAAGUCGAGCGAAGCGGCGGCAGGGUGAGUAACGCGUGGGUAACCUGCCCUUAAGUCUGGGAUACCAUUUGGAAACAGAUGCUAAUACAGGAUACUAAAGGCGGGACAUGCGAUGCAUUAGCUAGUUGGUAAGGUAACGGCGUACCAAGGCGAGGAUGCAGAGCCGAGUUGAGAGACUGACCGGCCACAUUGGGACUGAGACACGGCCCAAACUCCUACGGGAGGCAGCAGUAGGGAAUCUUCCACAAUGGACGAAAGUCUGAUGGAGCAACGCCGCGUGAGUGAAGAAGGUUUUCGGAUCGUAAAGCUCUGUUGUUGGUGAAGCGGUAAUCAACCAGAAAGUCACGGCUAACUACGUGCCAGCAGCCGCGGUAAUUC
rnacentral:rRNA from 1 species